rnacentral:rRNA from 1 species
AGCUGACCAUGGACGUCUUCCUUCCUCUUCCGCCUUUGGUUACCGAGUCAGUCUAGCAUUUUAAUUACUCCCAAAACCGUGUGUAACAGAGGAGUCAGUCUAGGACCGCUGCAUCCUUAUCGGCGUGUUUCUUCUCCCUCUGUCUCGAUCUCUUCGCCUCCGUUUCCUCGUGGCGCACCACACCUUUGUCGUCCACCGUCUCCCCAUCCCCCGGUCCCUCCUGUGGUGUGCCUUGCUGCGGGCUCAGAUCUUGGAGACGACAAACAACCCACCGACGCGAUGCGUCGUGCCCAAAGAAAUCGUCGGCAGUGCCAACUUAUAGCCAUCGCCUGUGUGGAAGAGGAUUUGCUAAUAAAGUUUCACCAAUGGAAAAUCAAUUUGCGGGAGCGCUCCUUUAUCCGUGUUGGACAUGGUGAAUUAGGAGGAGGCUUUGAUGUCUUCAGGUCGAUCAAAGCUGUGGUGCCAUCUCCGACCGUCUAGCGCCUCCACCAUAUACAUCGUCGUAGCGUCUAAUCGAUGCAUCAGGGGAAACCCCCCGACUUUAUUCCUUCUCCAGGGCCUAAGAAGACCUCGCAGAUGAGCAGUUUUCUUUCAAGAAUCAAGAUUACCAAGCACAAUGCAAGUCAAUAUACAAAUAAUUAUGUUUCAACUCAUGUAUGCCUCAAGUGUUGGUUACAUGUUGUCAUGAAAAUAGUAGCUACAUGGAUCAUCAGAUUAAGGAUGGUCCCAUCUUCCUACCUCUUUGUUUCAGUUCAACCUUCUGACCACAGGCAUUCCUACCCCACAGUAGUAGGCACUCGUGAUAUCUUCUUGCUGCAUUCCCUAUUCUACUGCAGAGAUUGACGCUAUACUUUGUAUACAAUUCAUUAUAGGCAUUCUUUUAUAUUUUAUCCAAAUCAAUAUAAUCUCACACAACACUGACGUCCGACGACCUCUCUGCUCCUGAAUCGGAAUCAAACACGUACACGUUGCAUUCCGGGCAUUCUUUUAUAUUAUCCCCAUACCAAUAUGAGCUCACACAACAUUGAUGGCUGACAGCCUUCUCUGCCCUUGGAUUAGGAUCCCACAUAUGACUGAUGGGUGAAGAUUUUCUUUUUGCUAAUCUUGAAUCGAGCUAAUUUUUAUCAUUGCAGAAUUUCAGUCACUUAUAGGAAGACACUUCAACUUAUCCACCAGAGUUAAUCAGAAGUACUUGCGUUGCACAAUACAACAAAUCAUUUCGUGUCAUUCCAGAAUAAAUUGUAUGUAAUACAUAUUUUGCUCGCCCCUUUUAUCGUGUGUAAUUCUGCACAUGUUUGUAUCUCGAGCACAUGAUUUUUGUUAUACAAAUAUGUCACUGCAUUUUGGGAUGCGUAUUUGCAAACUUAUAUUUUGUUUGCGAACUUACAAGCUUUUCAUAUGGAAGCGCAUGG